rnacentral:rRNA from 2 species
GAUUAAGCCAUGCAUGUGUAAGUAUAAAUAGUUAACUUUGAAACUGCGAAUGGCUCAUUAUAUCAGUUAUAGUUUAUUUGAUGAAGAAUACUAAUUGGAUAACCGUAGUAAUUCUAGAGCUAAUACAUGUAUAAAGUCUUGUAGACUGCAUUUAUUAGAAUGAAAACCAUAGGUUUCGGCCUAUUCGUGAGUAAUAAUAACUAAUCAUAUCGUAUGCUUACGUAACGAUGUGUCUUUCAAGUUUCUGCCCUAUCAGCUUUCGAUGGUAGUGUAUUGGACUACCAUG